rnacentral:rRNA from 1 species
CAGGAAAAAGCUUGCUGUUUCGCUGACGAGUGGCGGACGGGUGAGUAAUGUCUGGGAAACUGCCUGAUGGAGGGGGAUAACUACUGGAAACGGUAGCUAAUACCGCAUAACGUCGCAAGACCAAAGAGGGGGACCUUCGGGCCUCUUGCCAUCGGAUGUGCCCAGAUGGGAUUAGCUAGUAGGUGGGGUAACGGCUCACCUAGGCGACGAUCCCUAGCUGGUCUGAGAGGAUGACCAGCCACACUGGAACUGAGACACGGUCCAGACUCCUACGGGAGGCAGCAGUGGGGAAUAUUGCACAAUGGGCGCAAGCCUGAUGCAGCCAUGCCGCGUGUAUGAAGAAGGCCUUCGGGUUGUAAAGUACUUUCAGCGGGGAGGAAGGGAGUAAAGUUAAUACCUUUGCUCAUUGACGUUACCCGCAGAAGAAGCACCGGCUAACUCCGUGCCAGCAGCCGCGGUAAUACGGAGGGUGCAAGCGUUAAUCGGAAUUACUGGGCGUAAAGCGCACGCAGGCGGUUUGUUAAGUCAGAUGUGAAAUCCCCGGGCUCAACCUGGGAACUGCAUCUGAUACUGGCAAGCUUGAGUCUCGUAGAGGGGGGUAGAAUUCCAGGUGUAGCGGUGAAAUGCGUAGAGAUCUGGAGGAAUACCGGUGGCGAAGGCGGCCCCCUGGACGAA